CUACGGGGGGCUCCAGUGAGGAAUAUUGCACAAUGGGGGAACCCUGAUGCAGCAACGCCGCGUGGAGGAUGACGCAUUUCGGUGUGUAAACUCCUUUUAUAUGUCAAGAAAAUGACGGUAGCAUAUGAAUAAGCACCGGCUAACUCCGUGCCAGCAGCCGCGGUAAUACGGAGGGUGCAAGCGUUACUCGGAAUCACUGGGCGUAAAGGACGCGUAGGCGGGUUGGAAAGUCAAGUGUGAAAUCCUACAGCUUAACUGUAGAACUGCACUUGAAACUUCUAAUCUAGAGUAUGGGAGGGGGAGAUGGAAUUAGUGGUGUAGGGGUAAAAUCCGUAGAUAUCACUAGGAAUACCUAAAGCGAAGGCGAUCUCCUGGAACAUUACUGACGCUAAGGCGUGAAAGCGUGGGGAGCAAACAGGAUUAGAUACCCUCGUAGUC
rnacentral:rRNA from 1 species